UUCUGACCGUAAACGAUGCCAACUAGCGAUCCGCCGGCGGCUUCUCGGCCCUGGUGGGGAGCUUCCCGGAAACGAAAGUCUUCCGGUUCCGGGGGAAGUAUGGUUGCAAAGCUGAAACUUAAAGGAAUUGACGGAAGGGCACCACCAGGAGUGGAGCCUGCGGCUUAAUUUGACUCAACACGGGAAAACUCACCCGGCCCGGACACCGUGAGGAUUGACAGAUUGAUAGCUUUUUCAUGAUUCGGUGGUUGGUGGUGCAUGGCCGUUCUUAGUUCGUGGAUCGAUUUGUCUGGUUUAUUCCGAUAACGAGCGAGACUCCAGCCUACUAACUAGUGCGGGCAUUGCCUCUGUGCUUGUCACUUCUUAGAGGGAUUGGCUGCGUCUAGCGGCACGAAACGGAGCAAUAACAGGUCUGUGAUGCCCUUAGAUGUCCGGGGCUGCACGCGCGCUACACUGGCAAAAGCAGCGUGCUUGUCCGCCUCCGAAAGGAGCCGGUAAACCCUUGAAAAUUUGCCGUGAUUGGGAUCGGAAAUUGCAAUUAUUUUCCGUGAACGAGGAAUUCCUAGUAAGUGCGAGUCAUCAGCUCGCGUUG
rnacentral:rRNA from 2 species